UUGGCAUAUGGUUACCAUAUAAUUCAUCCCUUUAACCCAAGUACUCAAGAUAACCUAGGGUUUAACUGUCAACCCUAAUAUUGUCAUCCACACUGUAUUUCAAUUUUCAAAAUUCAUCACAUGGAUUAUCCCGAUCGAGAUUUUACUAAAUUAAAACACACUGAUACAUUAACUCCUGUUUAUCUGGAGGGGUCAAUUCUAUCUUGACUUACACACCAACUUUUCAAAUACUUGACUGUGUUCAAAAAUUUUUCAUCACUGAAUUAAAAAUUCAGAUAGUCCGAUAUCAAAGCACAGUGAGUUACUUGCAAGUCACCAUAGUGACAUCAGGUCGGAGGAACACUUAUAUCCAUAUCC
rnacentral:lncRNA from 1 species